AUUAAUAAUCGGUUAACGAACAAAGUCUUGGAACAGAUUAUGUUCGUUAACCGAUCACCCACUGUAUUACUUUAGAUGAAAAUUAAUGUUUUGUCUGUUUUUCUCAAAUGUUUAGCUGUUACCAAAAAUGGCAAAAGUACUGCUACAUGUUUGCACAGUUUGAUCAACCAACAAAUUCUAAGGUAAAGUCUAAAUUUGCAGAAGAGCAGGUUGUGUGAAUGUCCUUGAUUUUCAGAUAUUUGACAAUGUAUAUUUAUUAUUUGAAGGACGUUGGUGAUCGCAACAAUAAAUGAAUAUUUGAAAUAAAAUUAGAAUUGCUUCAGUGGGAGUAAAAAACUGAUACCAAUUUUGCAUAAUUGAAAUGAGAGCGUCUAACCCAACUUCCGUUGCACAGGUGACAAGCCAUCUCACCAUCUCUCUCCGCCUCCAAUUAAGGGAAGACAACGUCAUCCUCAUGACCUAAACAAACAGAUAGCAUUGUCGACGCUAGGGCACACUGCUGUACUUCUAUAUGGCCCAGAGUAAACCACCGAGGAUACCGACUUAAAACUGCCGCAUUUAUGACUGGAUGAUUUGAUUCUUCUAAAUCAUCUUGCUCCUCAAGAAUUGGCAAUCUAAAUAAAAGAGAAAAUUCUAAAUGUAAUAUAUAAACAGAAAAAAAUUUGGCAAAAAAAAACUGAUCAAAUGAUUUGGCAUCUGGAAGUAGAGAUGAUUCCGCUAAGGUAUCAAAAAGUGAACCAACGGGAUCAAGAGGAUGGCCUAUCCAACCUUCUGUGUUGCAGUGUAAUGGAUGAUUUGUUAUCCCAGAACUAGAACAUGACACCACUGUAAAAACAGGAAAAUUUCUUUACCUCCUCUCUCCUGCUCGGUCUGCCAUCUACACUGCCAUUCUCUUUGUUGCCGUUUCAUAGUUCUUACAAUUGCAACAGCCAAACGCAAUGCUUCUUGUUGGUAGCCAUGAGAACGUAAUGCUUCGACACGAGCACAGGCAGUUGGGAUAUGUUCUGAGAAAAAUUAGUGCAAAAAAAUUUGGAUAACCCUGAGAAUUAAAUGGUCCUGACAAUGGAAGAUCAGCGCUCGACGUCUGACUAUCAUUGGCAAGAAUAAAUUUUAAAUGGGGAUCGUCCCAGCUGAGAUGACAAGCUUCUAAAGCUCUGUGAAAAAUUGUUCGAGGUUGAGGAGGUUGAUGAUGGCUAGGCGAAGGGGGAGGUCUCUCUUGACCAUGAGGCUCUAUAAAUAAUGACACAAAUACUUCUUGGUUUGGAUGAAAUGAGCUUCAAGGGGAAAAAAAAUUUGUAAAACUUGAAUUAAAAAGUACCAUUUCCUUCAUCAUCCGAAGAAUCCGAAGAACUAUCGUCCACCAAAGGCAUUCUACCACCGCCAUUUACCAUUCUUGUGGGGCGGAAGUCAGCAUCUUCCAACGGACAAAUGUGCAUAUUUGCCCAUUUUUCUAACAGGCUUCGACACUGCUGUCGCUCUAAUUGUGUGGAGUGGGGAUUCAGGACUAUGCAGACCCAUAGUGCACCUAAAAUUACACAUUAAAUACAAUCAAAUGGGUGUAUAGAUUACGUAAUUGUCUACAAUGAAGAAAAGACUGAGGGGACGAGAAAUAGAAGAGCAAGCCCAGAAAAGAAGUAUACAAGGAAUAAUAACAUCCAAUAUGUUACAAAGAAAAUAAGCCUGUUUUCUUCACAUUUAUGGAAAUUGCAAUGAAAAAAUAUUACACAUAUACAACACUUAUUACUGUUAU
rnacentral:lncRNA from 1 species